rnacentral:rRNA from 1 species
AUUGAACGCUGGCGGCAUGCCUUACACAUGCAAGUCGAACGGUAACAGGUCUUCGGAUGCUGACGAGUGGCGAACGGGUGAGUAAUAUAUCGGAACGUGCCCAGUCGUGGGGGAUAACGCAGCGAAAGCUGUGCUAAUACCGCAUACGAUCUAUGGAUGAAAGCGGGGGAUCGCAAGACCUCGCGCGAUUGGAGCGGCCGAUAUCAGAUUAGGUAGUUGGUGGGGUAAAGGCCCACCAAGCCAACGAUCUGUAGCUGGUCUGAGAGGACGACCAGCCACACUGGAACUGAGACACGGUCCAGACUCCUACGGGAGGCAGCAGUGGGGAAUUUUGGACAAUGGGCGCAAGCCUGAUCCAGCAAUGCCGCGUGCAGGAUGAAGGCCUUCGGGUUGUAAACUGCUUUUGUACGGAACGAAAAGGCUCUGGUUAAUACCUGGGGCUCAUGACGGUACCGUAAGAAUAAGCACCGGCUAACUACGUGCC